ACUAAUUUUAUACUAUAUAAAUGAUGAUUUUUAAAGAUUUUAAUCCACGUGUCGACGAUGUGUCGUAUCAGUACUUUUUUGAAAAAUCACAUGUCGACGUAUUCGACACGUAUCGUGUUGGACACACGUGUCCGUGUCUGUGCAUUAUAGGUUUAGCUCAAAUGGAGUGUCUAAGCUGGUUCAAGAGGAUGAUCAACCACACUAGGACUGAGACUCAAACAUGGCCUAGACUCCUACGGGAGGCAGCAAAGAGGAAUUUCCCGCAAUGGGUGUGGAGGUAGAAGGCCCACGGGUCAUGAAUUUAUUUUCUGGAGAAGAGGCAAUGACGGUAUUUGAGGAAUAAGCAUCGGCUAACUCCACAAAUAUAAAGUUGGAAUAUCCA
rnacentral:rRNA from 1 species